rnacentral:lncRNA from 1 species
AUGGCGGAAUGUAGUGUUUUCUUCCCUCUCCGGCAAUCUUGGUGCGCUGUGUGCCAUAAUGCACAGGGAGCCGUGAGACUAUGUGAAGUCACAACUAUUAUUCAUGUUUUACGCCGUAGUCGACAGACUUCUAGCCUGUUUGACACUGUACAGUGUUCAGUCUGGUUUAACCAGGCUAUCAGACUUCUAGCCUGUUUGACACUGUACAGUGUUCAGUCUGGAUUAACCAGGCUAUCAGACUUCUAGCCUGUUUGACCCUGUACAGUGUUCAUCUGGUUUAAACAAGGCUAUCAGACUUCACACACACAAAUUCCAAUUUUGAAGCUGAAACAAUUCACUUGUCCUUCUCCUGCCAGAGGUUGAAAGAGGAGACAUUCUUAAACACGGGGGGGGGGGGGGGGGGGGGGGGGGGGGGGGGGGGGGGGGGGGGGGGGGGGGGGGGGGGGGGGGGGGGGGGGGGGGGGGGGGGGGGGGGGGGGGGGGGGGGGGGGGGGGGGGGGGGGGGUAAUGAUUUCUAUAACAUUUGCAUGUGUUCUAAUGUAGUGUCCCAGGAAAUUAUGGAAUUAUGGAAUAAGAUCUUGAGCUGACCAAGUCUGCACGAUGACUUAAUAAUAUGGCUUUUUGACACCAGUCAUGGCAAGUAAAUAGCCUGACAAUGUCAUCAUGAUACAUGCUGUCUCGUGCAAUAAAACUACUUCUAACUUGUUGCAUAGCCAACUAGUUGCCUAAAUAGCAUACUCAUGACAGUGUCAGUACUUUAGGCAUUAUGACCAUAAUAUAGUUCAAGUAGUCCACUGUUUUAGUCCAAUUCUAACAUGUACCAGAACACUUUCAGGAUAAUGUUGGUGCGCUCUCUGUGAUUUCAGCCGUGUCCAUUCUCUGUGUUAAUUUAUUGUAGUAAAAAGGAUUUGAUCAAAGCACAAGAGAACCUGCUGUAUCGCAAAUGUAAAACGUGUCCAAGUAAGAUGGGAUACAUACUGGACAUGUAUGAGUGUGUAAUCUGUGGAUAUGAUGAGUACAGCGAUUGUGAACAUCCAUCGAUUGAUAGGUGACAGAAAAAUGAAUGUUUUUAUAUAUUUUAGCCGAGCGGGACUGGCUUUUGUCAGACACUGAAACCUGCACUGAAAAAUAGCUGAAAUCAAAGGCAACUCAAAUGUCAGUGUCAUGAGGCUCUGUGACUUCACUUUGCAUGUUGUGUGCUUACAUGUUUUUGUUGUUGAUAAAUGCCUUUCUUGUUCAUGUUCUCUCGCUGUCUCUGUGUUGUUCCAUUGGAUCAUUCACCUCGUGUUGAGUUGUGGUGGUAGUGACUCUUCCUUGCAGAAGGGGCCCUGGUGUUUUCUAUAGACUAUGGCCAGUGGUGUGGACUAUGUGGAAAUCUCGACCCUUUGACUAUUCACAGUCUCUGUCUAUCUAUCUGGUUCUUUCUUUGUAAACUGUACAGACUCCAACGCUAUAAUCCACACCAAUUGAUACAGUGAACCAACCGUUUUAAUCCAACAUAUUGCUGUAACAAAAAAUUGAACUCUUCUUAUUUGGGCAGGAAUGUUAUAUACUGUAUAGAGUAUUUUAUUGAUUUUGAGGAGAAAAUCUAUAUCUAAAAAAAUAAAUAAAACGAUGUAUGUUUUUCAUCUCAGGUUCCGAUGGGCCAAAUAAAUAAAAACUAUUUUUAAAAAAUA